GCAAGUCGAACGGAAAGGCUCCAGCUUGCUGGAGUACUCGAGUGGCGAACGGGUGAGUAACACGUGGGUAAUCUGCCCUGCAAUCUGGGAUAAGACUGGGAAAAUGGGUCUAAUACUGGAUAUGACCUUUCUACAUACGGGGUUUGGUUGAAAGUUUUUCGGUGUAGGAUGAGCCCGCGGCCUAUCAGCUUGUUGGUGGGGUGAUGGCCUACCAAGGCGACGACGGGUAGCCGGCCUGAGAGGGUGAUC
rnacentral:rRNA from 1 species